rnacentral:tRNA from 1 species
GCGGACAUAGUUCAGUUGGUAGAACGUCUGCUUGCCAAGCAGAAGGUGGCGAGUUCGAGCCUCGCUGUCCGCUCCA